rnacentral:pre_miRNA from 1 species
AGCUUUCUGAAUCUGUGCAGAGAUUACGUCAGACACCAACCCAUUAGGAUUGAUUAGACUUCCAAGGUAAGUGAAGUU